rnacentral:rRNA from 1 species
GGGUGAGUAACACGUGGGAACCUUCCCUAUAGUGCGGAAUAGCCCAGGGAAACUUGGAGUAAUACCGUAUACGCCCGAAAGGGGAAAGAAUUUCGCUAUAGGAUGGGCCCGCGUAGGAUUAGCUAGUUGGUGAGGUAAUGGCUCACCAAGGCGACGAUCCUUAGCUGGUUUGAGAGAACGACCAGCCACGCUGGGACUGAGACACGGCCCAGACUCCUACGGGAGGCAGUAGUGGGGAAUAUUGGACAAUGGGCGCAAGCCUGAUCCAGCCAUGCCGCGUGAGUGAUGAAGGCCUUAGGGUUGUAAAGCUCUUUUGCCGGGGACGAUAAUGACGGUACCCGGAGAAUAAGUCCCGGCUAACUUCGUGCCAGCAGCCGCGGUAAUACGAAGGGGACUAGCGUUGUUCGGAAUCACUGGGCGUAAAGCGCACGUAGGCAGAUUUGUAAGUCAGGGGUGAAAUCCCGGGGCUCGACCUCGGAACUGCCUUUGAUACUGCGAAUCUUGAGUCCGAUAGAGGUGGGUGGAAUUCCUAGUGUAGAGGUGAAGUUCGUAGAUAUUAGGAAGAACACCGGUGGCGAAGGCGGCCCACUGGAUCGGUACUGACGCUGAGGUGCGAAAGCGUGGGGAACAAACAGGAUUAGAUACCCUGGUAGUCCACGCCGUAAACGAUGGAUGCUAGCCGUCGGAUAGCUUGCUAUUCGGUGGCGCAGCUAACGCAUUAAGCAUCCCGCCUGGGGAGUACGGCCGCAAGGUUAAAACUCAAAGGAAUUGACGGGGGCCCGCACAAGCGGUGGAGCAUGUGGUUUAAUUCGACGCAACGCGAAGAACCUUACCAGCUCUUGACAUUCACUGAUCGCC